GUUUGGUGUACACCUUGUACUCACUGAGUAAAGGUAAUUUUAUACAAUAUUUUAGGGUACUGCUAUCUUGACUGCAGUCUGUCAGAAAUCAGGUAUGGAAUCUUCACUUGUGAUGUCAUGUUGAUGCUCAGAAUAUUCCAGAUUUGAGAGCAUGUGGGCUGCCCAAUGUCUGGAUUAAGACUGCUCAAUCUGUGCUAGAGAUGAUAUAAUGUUGUAGAGGUCAUAAAGAAGACAACAGAACCCACAAGCAACACUUCAGUUGUUUAGUGCUCUUCAGUGGAAAGGAGUAAGAAGUAAGAGUAUUAAUAAGGAAACCCAACACAAUGUGACCAGCGAAACCAGGACAGAGAAUUCUGGCAGAUUGCAGCAGCCAGGGGCGAAAGGGGAAGCUCUGACACGCCAGGCC
rnacentral:lncRNA from 1 species